AUAUCUUAGGUACAAUAAAAUGAGGUUUCUUGGUUAUAGAAUUAGGGAAGGCUCCUGACUCCAUGGAUGAAAUUUGAUGGGUGGGUAGGAAAUAACUAGUUGAAGGGGAAGUGUGGGUGAAUAGCAUUCCAGGAGUUCCAGGCAUUCCAGAAACAGGGAUUAGUACAGAUGAAGGCCAGGGGUGGGAGGAGCAUGGAAAAAGGCUAGUUAGUGUGGCUGGAGCACAAGGAGCAGGAGGAAGCACCUUAUGAAAUGAAACUAGAGAAGUGGGCAGGAACUAGCCACCUGGGGAUUCCUUAGACACCUUAAGGAUUUCAGUCUUCCUUAAAACUGAGUUUUAAGAGUGACUUCUUCUGACUUGAGCUGGCAGUGUGCUUUGAGAGAUCUACCACAGGAAAUACCUGCCUGCAGUGACAGGAACAGCAAGAUGGAAUAGCUUCAUUCUGAGGUCUAGGGUAAGGGAAAGAGGAAGAUGGCUCUCCCUGCCGUAAUUGCCUUCGUGAGACGGAGAAGAGAAAGGGAGACAAGUGAAAAGAAGACGAGAAAGAGACUGCAUAACAGGCCCUCUGGUGGCUUUCAGCUUCUCAGAAAAGGAGUGUGAACGGAAAGAUCCGAAAGAACUCCAGAUGUCCAUGGGGCCAAGGAGUGCAUCAUCAUAAUUCCAGACAGGUCUUAAUGAUUCCCCAGCCAUCUCGGGAACAGUCCCCUUGACUUUCAGCUUGGAUAUAUUUAACUUUGUACAUCCUAAUGAUUGCUAUGUAUAUGUGUGUGUCACACACACAAUAUCUUAUUCUGUAUUAUGACAUAUUGUGACAGUUGUGUUAAAUUUGUUGCUUUAUAUAUUUUUCUCCACUCCUGCCUCUUCUACUCCACCCUUUCUACUCCGUGGGUGGUCCGGGGACCAGCAGCAUCAGCCUCACCUGAGAGCUUGUUAGAAAUGCAGCAUCGCAGGUCCCACUCUCAGACCUGAUGAGUCAGAAUCUGCAUUUUAACAGGAUUCCCAGGGAUUCUCCUGCAUUUGAAUCUUUGAGAAUUGAUGUUUUACAUAAUGACUGUUUCAUUUUAUUUUUUUUUAGCCAACUGUGCUUUUAAUAAUGAGAUUAAAAUCCUUCAAAGUCAAAAUAUUGUGAAGGUAACCCUACUUUAAGAUUAGACCAGAUAUAGUGCACACAAUUAAGGCAUUUAAACGCAUUUUCUAGUUAAAUUAUUGAAUUUAUCAUUGAUAAGCGUAUUUAAAGCUUCUUAUUUUCAAAUUCUUUGAGUUUUGCGUUCUUAGCUCUCACAAACCUUGGCUCAUUCUUGUAGCACGGACUUUUCCAUUGCUUCAUCUUAUAAAGAGAUUUCUCAGACGUGUGAAGCCUUCCUCCUGUGGGCAAUUGUGUCUUCUUCUCCAUUUUGGUUUUAGCUCAAGCAACCGGUACCUGCAUGAAGCUUCUGUUGAUGCUUCAAAACCUGGCCUGAAAGGUUCUAGCAAGGACCCAUCCCUCUGUCAAGGUUCUCGCCAAAAGACCCUCAGCUUUUGAAUUUUCCCAACAUUGAGUAUCUUGUAAUGCAAUGAUAUGGGACUCUGCUGUCAGAAUUCUAGUUUUCUCUAUUUUUUUCUCAAUUUCCAAUAAAGGUUAAUUUACAUUUAUCCCAA
ensembl:lncRNA